AAAAAAUAAAACAAAAUAAACUUCAAUAUUAUAAAUAAAAUUCUGCCAAGUAUGAAAAUAGCCAUGGAAAUGCAUGCCCUUAUACAUUUUUAAAAGUUUCUAUUGUGACAAUAAUUUUAGGAAAUAAAUCUUGAAGUGUUCCAAAGGAGAAAAUGCAUGAUCGGACUUGAAUGGACAAUGGAACAUUAGCCAAGUACAAGGCUGACAGAGUGACCUGACAUAGGAAAGGACCAGGGCUGACAAUUUUUGCAGUUCAGAUGCUAUGUGAGAAGAAAGGAACUCCAGGACACUGUAUUCUUAAAGACAAAUGAGCCUCGGGGAAACACAGUGAAAUGGAGCAAGUUGCAAACAUGAGUCUACUGAAGCUCUUCUUUCCCUUUUGUUCAUCUGAAUAUGAAAACAGUAAGUUCUUCCUAAUGCAAGUGGAAUUCUUCCCUUCUCAAAGCAUUCUUAUUCACAAAAUAAAAAUAAGAAGUUUCUGCUUUUGAGGAAGUAUUCUCUAGUAAUAUACCCAAUACCUAGAUAGCCACACCCACCGACCUUGUUAAUUAACAUUCCCCAAGACAUGUCACAGGAUAACAUUUUCAUGGAAUAAGGUAUAGCUUACAAGCAUUUGAAGCCUUAUGUUUACACUAUGUUUGUAAAUGAGAUCUAGCUAAAAGAUAGUCACGGAUGGAUCUCAAGCCAAGAACUUAGUGCAAGAAUGCCUGACUAGUCUGAGUGACCCACGGAGACACAGUUCACAGAGCUAAAUGGCAAAAGUAUCUGGGAUAUGUUUCUACUCCUCAGAGUGUGAUUCUCAUGAUGAUCUUACAGCAAUUCCAAAAAAGUUCAAUAAAAUGCAACAGGAAUUUGAUCAUAAGGAGAUAAGAAAAGUUAGUCCACUAAGUAUAAUUAAAAUACUCAGAGACAUAGUAGAAAAAGUAGAAGUCAAGAACAUGAGAAAGCAGGUUAACAUUUUUUAGCUUUAAGACUGUUGAGUGUUUUGCCUAUGUGUGUAUUUGUAAAACCUGGGUCCUUUAGAAGAGCAGCCGGUGUUUUUAACCACUGAGCCAUCUCUCCAGCCUUGAGCUCAACUUUUUGAAAAUUAGUUAUCUGAGUUAAUUAUUAGGAGGAGACUUUUUGAGCCUUUGAGGAAAAAAAAAGAUUGUACAGUAAUUAUGUAGUUAGUUACUUCCCUUCAUUAUAAAAUCCCUAUGAAAAUAAAUUUGCAAAAAAUGUAAACCAUCCAGGCAGCUUUUAUUUUCUUAAGAGACUCCCAUUUAUUGUAUGACUUCCUUCCUCCCAAGGGUUUGUGAAUGAAUGCCACAAACAUGAAAGCUGUGUGUGAGAAGUGGGAAUGAAAGUCUGUCCCAUCACUGCACCUUAGAGUGAGGUCUUAGUUGUGUAUCAUGCUUCUGUGUUACUUGAAAAAUGGGCACACAAACACACACAGUGGGGUUGUGAGUACUGCAUACACAAAUUCAGCUAAGCCAUUGCAAUCCUUUUCCUGCUUAAUGAAGCCAAAUGGAAUUCUGUUGGAAACAUAUGAUACAAUUAAGUUGAAACUUUUGUAGGCUGCAUGUUCAGGCAAUAACAGACAAAUUGAAAGAGUUGCAUAAUCAUGAAAUUUUCGGCCAUAAGUCCUUUGCCAAAUUAAGCUCAGAUACACCAAAAUAUGAGAAAUUUAAUUUUUGUAUUCUCUCUUAUAACUUCAGUAGAGAAGAUAACAUUUAGCUAUCUCUUUGAGAUCCUAAAUACAUAAUUUGAACAACAUUUUAAGAUCAAAAUUACAUUUGCUGUUGCAUGAAAAAGCAUUAAAUUAUAGUCCAAUCAGGACUUGAAGUGUUCUCUGAUUCUCUUAGAAUAUUUGAUUAAAAAAUAGAUGCAGGUGUCAUCAAUAAUGUAUAUAUAUUCAAUCAGGAAACUUAAUUUUCCCUUUAGUCUUUUAAUUGAAACCUUGAAUAUGAACAUGUUUUUAAAGCUCUUUUAUGCUCAGAAACUAGCUAUCUCUAUGUAACUAUGUAUUUUUAAUGUCUCCAGCAAUUUCCUUCAAAGAAAAGAUGUAAAACAUUUGUGCUCAUGAAAUAUCCACCUCUGUGUUCCAUCAGUGGAGUAACAGCAAAACUGGAAGUUCUGUUCCUUAUGUCAGUCAUGCUGUGCAGGAAUUGAAAAAUAUGCCUGUAUUUUCUCAUUUUCAUAAGAGGCAUAUUCUUAGGCUAUGGGAAGCUCAGCACAUAUCAAGCCACUUUCAGUUAAAAAGGCUUAUACUCAUGUUUGGGGGGGGUAAUGAAUGCAUCUAAUAUUUACAGAUGAUGAGAUGAGAGAGGGAGAGGAUUUCUACAUCAGAGUAGUACCCUAAGCCUGAACAGUUUCUGGUGAGUGCUUCUCUUUCUGUCAGCCUGUAUUCUAACAUGCCCUGAAUAUGGCUACUUCUCCUCCUGUGUCACGUAUGUAAAUCUUCCUCCUCCCUGCAUCAUUAUCUGUCGUCAACUCUCCCUCUUAAAACCACCCACUUGAGUAUCAGGACUGGAGUAAAAGAAUCAGGGUGGGGCAAUAUCCGGUCCCCUGGAGUAAAAUAGCACAAUUUUUAUUACUCAUUAUGUUAGUGGUAAAAGAUGAAGAGCAGUUUGUCCAGACUUGAUUUUACGAGAGUCACACCGAAAUAACUCAAAAGUACAUGCUAUUUCAAAAUGUUUCUGAAAGCCAGAAUGGGGAUAAUUUUCC
rnacentral:lncRNA from 1 species